AACGAACGCUGGCGGCAGGCCUAACACAUGCAAGUCGAACGCCGUAGCGAUACGGAGUGGCAGACGGGUGAGUAACGCGUGGGAACAUACCCCUCGGUCCGGAAUAACUCAGGGAAACUUGAGCUAAUACCGGAUAAGUCCGAGGUUUUAAUCGACCUUGGAGAAAGAUUUAUCGCCGGAGGAUUGGCCCGCGUCUGAUUAGCUUGUUGGUGAGGUAAUGGCUCACCAAGGCGACGAUCAGAGCUGGUCUGAGAGGAUGAUCAGCCACAUUGGGACUGAGACACGGCCCAAACUCCUACGGGAGCAGCAGGUGGGGAAUAUUGGACAAUGGGCGCAAGCCUGAUCCAGCCAUGCCG
rnacentral:rRNA from 1 species